rnacentral:rRNA from 1 species
UACGAAGGGUCCAAGCGUUAUCCGGAUUUAUUGGGUUUAAAGGGUGCGUAGGCGGCUUAUUAAGUCAGUGGUGAAAGCCCGUAGCUUAACUACGGAACUGCCAUUGAUACUGAUGAGCUUGAAUAUACUUGAGGUUGGCGGAAUGUGUCAUGUAGCGGUGAAAUGCUUAGAUAUGACACAGAACACCGAUUGCGAAGGCAGCUAGCUAAAGUACAAUUGACGCUGAGGAGCGAAAGCGUGGGGAGCGAACAGG